rnacentral:rRNA from 1 species
CAGCCGCCACGGUAAUACGGAGGGUGCAAGCGUUAUCCGGAAUUAUUGGGUUUAAAGGGUGCGUAGGCGGAUAGAUAAGUCAGUGGUGAAAGACGGUGGCUCAACCAUCGCAGUGCCGUUGAUACUGUUUAUCUUGAAUAUGGAUGAGGUAGGCGGAAUGUGGCAAGUAGCGGUGAAAUGCAUAGAUAUGCCACAGAACACCGAUUGCGAAGGCAGCUUACCAAGGCAAAAUUGACGCUGAGGCACGAAAGCGUGGGGAUCGAACAGGAUUAGAGACCCCCGUAGUCCCUGUCUCUUAUAC